UACGUAGGGUGCAAGCGUUAAUCGGAAUUACUGGGCGUAAAGCGUGCGCAGGCGGUUUUGUAAGUCUGUCGUGAAAUCCCCGGGCUCAACCUGGGAAUUGCGAUGGAGACUGCAAGGCUGGAGUCUGGCAGAGGGGGGUAGAAUUCCACGUGUAGCAGUGAAAUGCGUAGAGAUGUGGAGGAACACCGAUGGCGAAGGCAGCCCCCUGGGUCAAGACUGACGCUCAUGCACGAAAGCGUGGGGAGCAAACAGG
rnacentral:rRNA from 1 species